rnacentral:tRNA from 1 species
GGGGGUUAAAUAGUAUUCGCUGCUAACGAUUAUUGGAGAUUUGAUUUUUUUCUCAACUCCUU